rnacentral:tRNA from 1 species
GGCCUCGUAGCUCAGUUGGCUAGAGCAUUGGCUGUACUUAAGCCUCCCUCUUGCUUUUAUGGGUUCGAAUCUCACCGAGGCUG